rnacentral:misc_RNA from 1 species
GAUGAAGAACGCAGCGAAAUGCGAUAAGUAAUGUGAAUUGCAGAAUUCAGUGAAUCAUCGAAUCUUCGAACGCACAUUGCGCCCGCCAGUAUUCUGGCGGGCAUGCCUGUUCGAGCGUCAUUUCAACCCUCAGGCCCCCAGUGCCUGGUGUUGGGGAUCGGCCCAGCCUUCCUGUAAGGCCGCCGGCCCCGAAAUCUAGUGGCGGUCUCGCUGUAGUCCUCCUCUGCGUAGUAGCACAACCUCGCAGUUGGAACGCGGCGGUGGCCAUGCCGUUAAACACCCCACUUCUGAAAGUUGACCUCGGAUCAGGUAGGAAUACCCGCUGAACUUAAGCAUAUCAAUAAGCGGAGGA